rnacentral:lncRNA from 1 species
CACCUCUCCCUGUAACCCCUCCCUAAUUCCUCUCCAUUAAUAAUGAGCUGAAUGAUUCAGCAGAUCCAGGAAGCAGAGGUGGGAUGAAUAGACACGGUUAUCCAUAAAGUAUCUCAUACAUCUACAGACUAAACCCAUCUCACCCCCUUGCUUUGCUUUUCUCUUUUCUUUUCUUUUUCCUCAUCUCCUCUCCAGUGCCCUCCCCUCCCCUCCCCUCUCCUCCUCUCUCUUCUCCUGUCCUAUCUCCUUUCCUUUUUUUUGAGACACCUGGGUGACAGAGCAAGACUCCAUCUCAAAAAAAAAAAAAAGGAAGAAGAAGAAGGAAGUGGCCAGUGAUGCUGGAGGUAAUAAGUGAGUAAUGAAGGAUAGAACCCCUGUGCUUGGGGUCUCAGCCUUGGAUAGACUGCUAGCCUUGACCUACCUAUGCGUGCUUCUCACCAUGAGCAGAGAUCUGAACGUUUUGGUUCCCCAGUAGUCAGUCCAGGCCUGUGUUUUGACAACAGAGGUUAUCUGACAGCUUGGUCAGGAAUUCAUUGUUUCUUUUAUAUUUUACUUAUAUUCUUCCCACCUGCUUCCAUAUCGCUACCACGAGGGAUUUAGGAAGACCAGACUCUCCCAUUGUCAUCUGUCACCUCCUCAUACCACUUCUCCCAACCAGUCACAGAGCCAGGGAACCCCAAUUUCUGUCACUGUCCCUUACUUGUCACCUUAUGCCUCAUUUGCCCAUUCUCUCCGAAUGACUUAGGCAGUAAAUUCCCCAGGGCGGUCACAAUCUGCAUGAUCAUGGGAGACCCUGAGUGCAGUAUGUUACUCCAUAAAUAAUUCACUGUUCUCAUGAUGAAAGCAAGGAGAUCCGAGUAACUGGAGAGGGAAGGCAGAGGGGUGAUUGAAAACACACAUGUGUGCACACACCAGGAUGGGUCUUCUCAGUGGCUUUGUUACAUGGUUUUCUGUACUUGACUGCUCUGGAAGCUGUAAAUAGGACUGUGACCAACAUGGUCCCUGGAUGUUGGGGCAGGGGCCCGGCUGCAGAGAACUUGUUCCUUCAAGGGAACUGUGGGUUCUGUCCAAGGCAGAGCCUAGGAGCUGCUAUGACUGCAGCAGUAGGAAUGUAAGGAUGAGAAGGAUGUGAGGAUGCAAACACGUCCAAGGGCAAGGAGUCUGUGUGUGAGAACCUUUCUUUGGCAUCUCAGAUGCAUCUGCUUUCCCCUCCUUGGCAUCUCCUGGAUGAAGGGAGGUCAAGGAAUACUAUUUUGAGGUACUUAGAGAGGGACAGGAGGCUGCUGGAUAUACAAGCCUGUUUGUGGGAAGAUGAAAGGAAAAAAGGCCUCAUCAAGGCUGUGCUAAACCCAGAUGCUGUUCUUUGACCUUCACUCCAGUUGCUGCAUCACUCUCGGGUGUUUUGUCUUUGCCAAAACCACAUAGGGAGGAAGUUAUUAAGACAAAGGGGGUGACUGCAGAGUCAAUUUCUAUUCCUAGCCAGUGGUUGACCCUGGCAAGUAACCUUGAGUAGGUCAUUAACCCCUCCCUAGGGUGAUUAUAAUGGAUUCCAACCUAUGUCAGGAAAGUCCUGUGAAAAUUGAUAAGUUGAGACUUUUAAGUGCCUUGAGAUCUUAGAAGAGAUAAACAAACAAUAUCCCUGUGUUUUGUGAGCGUGUUAUGGGCUGCCCUUGAAAUCUGAUUCUCCAUACACUGGCCAUGCUCUGUUCUUUGCUUGGUGACCAGUUGUAGCAAAAAAAAAUUUAUUGGUAGGAGUAGCAAUAAAAACAGCUAACAUCUAUUCAACUGUUACUGUGUGUUGGGCACUGUAGUUUAGUGCUCACAGCAACAUUCUAAGGUACAAAUGAUGAAACAGAGAGGUUAAGUAACUUCCCAAAGUUGCAGUUAAUAAGCCAGAGCCAGUAUCUGCACUCUGGCCUCCAGAGUGCAGGCUCUGCUCUUACCCAUGAUAAGAAGCAGAUAAGAACCACAUUUAGGCCCCAUGUGGUGGCUCAUGCCUGUAAUCCCAGCACUUUGGGAGGCUGAGGAGGGCAGAUCACCUGAGGUCAGGAGUUCAAGACCAGCCUGACCAACAUGGUGAAACCUUGUCUCUACUAAAAAUACAAAAUUAGCUGAGCGUGGUGGUGCAUGCCUGUAAUCUCAGCUACUCGAGAGGCUGAGGCAGGAGAAUCACUUGAACCUGGGAGGUGGAGGUUGCAGUGAGCCAAAAUUGUGCCACUGCACUCCAGCCUGGGUGACAGAGCUCGACUCUGUCUCAAAAUAAAUAAAUAAACAAAUAUUUUAAAAAGCAUAUUUAAUAAUCAUGUAAUUUGUCAUUAGUGAGCACUUGUUGUAUGAUCUGCCUCAAGUUGGCGUAGUAUGAGUGACAUGGAACUAUAUAAACUAACAGAAGACAGACGGGAGUUGAGUGCUAAAUUGGUGAUACCAAAGUUCUUUUGAAAACCUAAGAAAAAGAGAUCCACUAUGGGCUGGACUUUUGGGGAAAAUGUUGGAGAAAGUGAGGUGUGAGCACCCUUGUUUUUUUGCCUUCUAAGCAGAAUAUUUAGACUCUCUGGGACUACAAUUGUAGAAAGAUGCUAAUUUGUAUUGCUUAUGAGAAAAAGGGCAUGGAGGAGGGGCUAUUUCAUUGUUAAUCUGGAAUCUGCUGCAUACAUUCGUAGUCCUGUGCAGAUUCACAAUGCACUUUGGCUCUUGGAGGCUCAGCAACAUUGUGUGAUAAAGAAAUCUGCUUUUUUUUGGCUGGGUGUGGUGGCUCACGCCUGUAAUCCCAGCACUUCGGGAGGCCAAGGCAGGUGCAUCACGAGGUCAGGAGAUCGAAACCAUCCUGGCUAAAGUGGUGAAACACCGUCUCUACUAAAAAUACAAAAAAUUAGCCAGGCAUGGUGGCGGGUGCCUGUACUCCCAGCUACUUGGGAGGCUGAGGCAGGAGAAUGGCGUGAACCAGAAUGCGGAGCUUGCAGUGAGCCGAGAUCGCACCACUGCAAUCCAGCCUGGGCGACAGAGAGAGACUCUGUCUCAAAAAACAAAAAGAAAUCUGCUUUUUUUUUCACUCUGACUGGAGUAUAGUGGAGUGCAGUGGCACAAACAUGGCUCACUGCAAACCUCGAAUUCCUGGGCUCAAGUGAUCAUCUCAUCUCAGUCUCCCAAGUAGCUGGGACCACAUGUGUGCACCACCAUACCUGGCUAGUUUUUUACAUUUUUGUAGAGGGAGUCUUACUGUGUUGCCUAGGCUAAUCUCCUGGAUUCAACUCCUGUGCUCCAGCCACUCUCCUGCUUUGGCCUCCCAAAGUGCUGGAAAUACAGAUAUGAGCCAUCUCACCUGGCCAGAACAUUUUUUUCAUAGAACUCGUAUCAACAUUUUAUAGAUGAGUGCAGUGUCUCAUGUCUGUAAUCCCAGCACUUUGAAAGGCUGAGGCAGGAGGAUCACUUGAACCCAGGAGGUCAAGGCCAGCCUGGGCAACAUGGUGAAACCCUGUCUCUACAAAAAAUACAAAAAUCAGCUGGGCGUGGUGGCGUGCGCCUAUAUUGCCAGCUACUCAAGAGGCUGUGGUUGGAGGAUCACUUGAACCCAGGAAGUGGAAGUUGCAGUGAGCCAAGAUCAUGCCACUGCAUUUCAACCUGAGCAACAGAGCAAGACCCUGUCUCCAAAAAUAAAAAAAAUUAAAAAAAAUAAAAGCCAGGUGCAGUGGCUCACGCCUGUAAUCCCAGCACUUUGGGAGGCCGAGGCAGGCAGAUCACAAGGUCAGGAGUUCAAGACCAGCCUGGCCAAUAUGGUGAAACCCCGUCUCCACUAAAAAUACAAAAAAAUUAGCUGGGUAUGGUGGCAGGCGCCUGUAAUCCCAGCUACUUUGGGAGGCUGAGGCAGGAGAAUCACUUGAAUCUAGGAGGCAGAGGUUGCAGCGAGCUGAGAUCAUGCCAUUGCACUCCAGCCUGGGCUACAAGAGUGAAACUCUGUCUCAAAAAAAAAAAAA